GUGAAUCAUCAAAUUUUUGAACGCAAAUUGCGCCUUUUUCCGAAGGCAUGUCUGUUUGAGGGCGCCAUUUAACAAAUAAUGUGCAGCGCUUUUUGUUGCACACGUUGAUGAGCGUUGCGUGUAUUUUAAUUUUUUGGUGGUGCAUAAUGAACAGCGUGACAGUUUUUUUCAGUUUGUUUAGAGUAAAAUCUUUACUUGGUUUGUGAACAAACAUAAUCGCG
rnacentral:misc_RNA from 1 species